rnacentral:rRNA from 1 species
AACGAACGCUGGCGGCAUGCCUAACACAUGCAAGUCGAACGAGACCUUCGGGUCUAGUGGCGCACGGGUUCGUAACGCGUGGGAACCUUCCCUUAUGUUCGGAAUAACUCCCCGAAAGGGGUGCUAAUACCGGAUAAUGUCUUCGGACCAAAGAUUUAUCGCCUUUGGAUGGUCCCGCGUUGGAUUAGCUAGUUGGUAGGGUAAAAGCCUACCAAGGCGACGAUCCAUAGCUGGUCUGAGAGGAUGAUCAGCCACACUGGGACUGAGACACGGCCCAGACUACUACGGGAGGGAGCAGUGGGGAAUAUUGGAAAAUGGGCGAAAGCAUGAUCCAGCAAUGCCGCGUGAGUGAUGAAGGCAUUAGGGUUGUAAAGCUCUUUUACACGGGAUGAUAAUGACAGUAACGGGAGAAUAAGCUCCGGCUAACUACGUG